ensembl:lncRNA
UUAGAGCACACCAUUCUCAAAAACAAAGAAAAAAAAAAACAAAAAAAAAACGAACAUGGAACUUCAGGAAUGGCUCAAUAAAAACAAAGACAAAUAAGUCCAACAUGCAAACCAUCCUAUGAAUUAUACUACCGCUGUGGAAGUAACCUGUAGAUAUACUGCUUGGUCAAUUCCAUUUAAAAAAAAUAUACAACAGUAUGUAUGAACAACAAUCCCAUACUCACUAGAAGUGUUUCACUAAUGCACCAGACUACGUACAAAAUCAUGUCUGUCCUACGAGUCGGCCAGACCUCCUAAAGUCUGUCUCAAGAGUCAGAAGUUCCCAUGCUUGGAGAGACACAGCUCUGUCUCCGUUUGUACACGGGGGUAGCGACACCGACAGACGGCUAAACUAUCAUGUCCUCUAAGGUGGCUUCAGUGUGUUCACGGUGUGGGCCCCUAUACAGACACAGACAGUCUGGAAGGGGCAGGCACACCAUAUGGUGGUGGUGGUGGGAGGACAUGACACCACCAUAGAGACACUGACAGUCUCCAACACCACCAUAGAGACACUGACAGGGUCCAACACCACCAUAGAGACACUGACAGGGUCCAACACCACCAUAGAGACACUGACAGGGUCCAACACCACCAUAGAGACACUGACAGUCUCCAACACCACCAUAGACACACUGACAGGGUCCAACACCACCAUAGAGACACUGACAGUCUCCAACACCACCAUAGAGACACUGACAGUCUCCAACACCACCAUAGAGACACUGACAGUCUCCAACACCACCAUAGACACACUGACAGGGGUCCAACACCACCAUAGAG